UUUCUUCUAUUCUUCUCUCUAUACGUUGGUGUUCUAACCAAUAAUCACCGAUGCGAUGUUCUGUCCGAUCGAUUCAGGAACCAACUAACGGAUGCCAAAGUGUUGUACUUUGUGAAUUUCGUUAAACGGAUGCCAAAGUGUUGUACUUUCUGAAUUUCGUUAAACGGAUGCCAAAGUGCCGUCUAAACAAGACUAUACUUUGUGAAUUUCGUUAUAGUUCGAAUCUCGUGACCAUCGUUAGGUUUGAUUUGGUUUAACACUAAUACGUAUUCCAUCCUGUUAAACUAAAUGUUUAACUACUCGAAACUCUACAUCAUACUCUUAUAAUCAAAAUGGAUGCUUAAUCAUCAGAAGAUUCAGAACCAUAAAGUAGAUGCUUAGAAUCAAGAUGUUUGUUUAAACAAGACUGUAUGUUAACAAGGUAAUUACAGUAGAUUGGAAUAAGAGUUGGAUACGGCACCGAAAGGCUUAAAGAAGUGGCUUAUUUUAUCAAUUAAAUUAAAUCAAGAAAUGUUGUCAUGCUAAAGCUACCCUUGUAAAACAUGGGUUUACUCCCAUCUGUUUAAUAAAUAAAAUCCGGUGUUUCAAAACUCUGAUAUUUUUCCUAACUCACGGUCCUGAUGAACAUUUCCGUUGCAACGUUUUUAAAAUAACCACCGGUACCACUUGGCUGCUCGCGGCUCCCGAUUCCGUCCAGGGUGGGGUCGGGGGUCGUGACAUCGGGCGCCCCUCUCGGCCCCUCUUAAGCUACGUGACGAUGAGAAUAACCUCGGAAGAGGUAGAUAUUACAAGUUUAACGCCAGAUCAAAGUCCUUAUUGAGGAGAGCUAGAUCUAUGUCAUAAAUGAGGAUGCAGAACGUGUUUCAGUGGCUAGAGGAGUUCGAAUUCGGAAGAGAAUCCACAAACAUUAAAAAAAUCAAAGCCAAAGAUGGUGGUGGAGGACUGAUGAGAGAGAGAGAGAACAAAUUGCAGCUUUUGGGUGCUUCAUAGGUGGCCUAGGACUGAUGGCGGUGAAGGACUGAUGAUGGUGGUAAACGACGGCGAUGCCGAAACUCCGACGUUCGGUGCUUCAUAGGUGGCUUAGGACUCCAAACUGUUCAUGUUUCACAUCCAAUUUAAUACAUGAAACUGUUUAAAAUAUUCUUAACAUGUUGAUUGCCAUAGAAUUAAGAUUUUUAAUGACUUAUAAAAAGGGGUUUUUUGGGAAUUGGUGGAUGUGAUGGUGUUGUUGGUGGUAUAUGGUAGGUGGUGGUUGGUGUGGGUGUGCAGAGGUGGUAGAGACGGGUGGGGCAGUGGUGAAUUGGUGAUUGAUGGUGGUGGAGGACUGAUGAGAGAGAGAGAAGGGAGGGUGUAUAUAUAGGUAUAAUAUAAUAUUAUAUUUUUAAAUCCCAUCUCUCGUAUCCUUUCCUUUCCAUCUUUUCUUUUGUAACUAAAAUGUGUGUAAGUGAGUAGACUCCUUGCUAAAGGAGAGUGCUAUGUAACUAUCAAGAAGUUCUUCCUUAGGGAAGAACAUUUAUGAAUAAAAAUAUCAGU
rnacentral:lncRNA from 1 species